GCCCCUUUAGCUCAGUCGGUAGAGCAGCUGUUUCGUAAACAGCAGGUCGUCAGUUCAAGUCUGAUGAGGGGCUC
rnacentral:tRNA from 1 species